CGGGUGAGUAACACGUGGGCAAUCUGCCCUGCACUCUGGGACAAGCCCUGGAAACGGGGUCUAAUACCGGAUACUGACCCCCGCAGGCAUCUGCGGGGUUCGAAAGCUCCGGCGGUGCAGGAUGAGCCCGCGGCCUAUCAGCUUGUUGGUGAGGUAAUGGCUCACCAAGGCGACGACGGGUAGCCGGCCUGAGAGGGCGACCGGCCACACUGGGACUGAGACACGGCCACAACUCAUACGGGAGGCAGCAGUGGGGAAUAUUGCACAAUGGGCGAAAGCCUGAUGCAGCGACGCCGCGUGAGGGAUGACGGCCUUCGGGUUGUAAACCUCUUUCAGCAGGGAAGAAGCGAAAGUGACGGUACCUGCAGAAGAAGCGCCGGCUAACUACGUGCCAGCAGCCGCGGUAAUACGUAGGGCGCGAGCGUUGUCCGGAAUUAUUGGGCGUAAAGAGCUCGUAGGCGGCUUGUCACGUCGGUUGUGAAAGCCCGGGGCUUAACCCCGGGUCUGCAGUCGAUACGGGCAGGCUAGAGUUCGGUAGGGGAGAUCGGAAUUCCUGGUGUAGCGGUGAAAUGCGCAGAUAUCAGGAGGAACACCGGUGGCGAAGGCGGAUCUCUGGGCCGAUACUGACGCUGAGGAGCGAAAGCGUGGGGAGCGAACAGGAUUAGAUACCCUGGUAGUCCACGCCGUAAACGGUGGGCACUAGGUGUGGGCGACAUUCCACGUCGUCCGUGCCGCAGCUAACGCAUUAAGUGCCCCGCCUGGGGAGUACGGCCGCAAGCUAAAAACUCAAAGGAAUUGACGGGGGCCCGCA
rnacentral:rRNA from 1 species